rnacentral:rRNA from 1 species
CGCAAGCCUGACGGAGCAAGACCGCGUGCGGGAUGACGGCCUAAUGGUUGUAAACCGCUUUUCUCUGGGAAGAUGAUGACGGUACCAGAGGAAUCAGCCUCGGCUAACUCCGUGCCAGCAGCCGCGGUAAUACGGAGGAGGCAAGCGUUAUCCGGAAUUAUUGGGCGUAAAGCGUCCGUAGGUGGUUAUUCAAGUCUGCUGUUAAAGCCCACAGCUCAACUGUGGAUCGGCAGUGGAAACUGAAUAACUUGAGAGCGGUAGGGGUAGAGGGAAUUCCCGGUGUAGCGGUGAAAUGCGUAGAUAUCGGGAAGAACACCAGUGGCGAAGGCGCUCUACUGGGCCGCAACUGACGCUGAGGGACGAAAGCUAGGGGAGCG